rnacentral:rRNA from 1 species
AUUGAACGCUGGCGGAAUGCUUUACACAUGCAAGUCGAACGGCAGCACGGACUUCGGUCUGGUGGCGAGUGGCGAACGGGUGAGUAACAUAUCGGAACGUAUCCAAUAAUGGGGGAUAACGAGUCGAAAGAUUCGCUAAUACCGCAUACGCCCUACGGGGGAAAGCUGGGGACCUUCGGGCCUGGCGUUAAUGGAGCGGCCGAUAUCUGAUUAGCUAGUUGGUGAGGUAAAGGCACACCAAGGCGACGAUCAGUAGCUGGUCUGAGAGGACGACCAGCCACACUGGAACUGAGACGCGGUCCAGACUCCUACGGGAGGCAGCAGUGGGGAAUUUUGGACAAUGGGCGCAAGCCUGAUCCAGCCAUUCCGCGUGAGUGAAGAAGGCCUUCGGGUUGUAAAGCUCUUUCGCAAGGGAAGAAAACUUAGCCACUAACAUUGGUUGAGGUUGACGGUACCUUGAUAAGAAGCACCGGCUAACUACGUGCCAGCCGCCGCCGUAA